AGAGUUUGAUCCUGGCUCAGAAUGAACGUUGGCGGCGUGGAUUAGGCAUGCAAGUCGAACGGGCCGCAAGGCCAGUGGCGGAAGGGUGAGUAAGGCGACGGUAAUCAACCCCAUGGUUGGGUAUAGCCGCGGGAAACUGCGGGUAAUCCCCAGCGACGUCCGGAUCGGGCAUCCGAAUCGGACCAAAGUCCUGGCGCCGUGGGACGAGCCGUCGUGGUAUUAGGUCGUUGGCGGGGUAAUGGCCCACCAAGCCUAUGAUGCCUACCGGGCGUGCGAGCGUGGCCCGGCACACUGGGACUGAGACACUGCCCAGACUCCUACGGGAGGCUGCAGUCGAGAAUCUUCGGCAAUGGGCGCAAGCCUGACCGAGCGACGCCGCGUGGAGGAUGAAGGCCUUCGGGUUGUAAACUCCUGUCGAGGGGGAAGAAGGUCGGGUAACCGGCUUGACCGAUCCCUGGAGGAAGCACGGGCUAAGUUCGUGCCAGCAGCCGCGGUAAGACGAACCGUGCGAACGUUAUUCGGAAUCACUGGGCUUAAAGCGCGUGUAGGCGGAUGGGAACGUCGGUUGUUGAAAGCCCCCGGCUCAACCGGGGAACUGGCACCGAAACGACCCGUCUGGAGGGACGUAGGGGGACCUGGAACUUCCGGUGGAGCGGUGAAAUGCGUUGAGAUCGGAAGGAACGCCCGUGGCGAAAGCGAGGUCCUGGACGUCUAUUGACGCUGAGACUCGAAAGCUAGGGGAGCAAACAGGAUUAGAUACCCUGGUAGUCCUAGCCGUAAACGAUGUAGACCAGGUGUGGGAGGUAUCGACCCCUUCCGUGCCGACGCUAACGCAUUAAGUCUACCGCCUGGGGAGUACGGCCGCAAGGUUAAAACUCAAAGGAAUUGACGGGGGCCCGCACAAGCGGUGGAUCAUGUGGUUUAAUUCGACACUACGCGAAGAACCUUACCUGGGCUCGAACGACUAGUGGUAGUCCUUAUGAAAGUAGGGGCGACCCGCAAGGGAGCUAGCCGAGGUGCUGCAUGGCUGUCGUCAGCUCGUGUCGUGAGAUGUUGGGUUAAGUCCCGCAACGAGCGCAACCCUUGUCCUGUGUUGCUACUCCGCAAGGAGAGGACUCUCAGGAGACUGCCGUGGAUAACACGGAGGAAGGUGGGGACGACGUCAAGUCAUCAUGGCCUUUAUGUCCAGGGCUACACACGUGAUACAAUGGUGCAGACAGAGGGUCGCAAGACCGCAAGGUGGAGCCAAUCCCUAAACUGCACCCUAGUUCAGAUCGUGGGCUGCAAUUCGCCCACGUGAAGCUGGAAUCGCUAGUAAUCGCGGAUCAGCACGCCGCGGUGAAUACGUUCCCGGGCCUUGUACACACCGCCCGUCACACCACGAAAGUCGGUUCUACCAGAAGUCGCUGGGCUAACCCGUAAGGGAGGCAGGUGCCGAAGGUAGGAUCGGUGAUUGGGGUGAAGUCGUAACAAGGUAACCGUA
rnacentral:rRNA from 1 species